rnacentral:lncRNA from 1 species
GUGCUGACCUCUUGGAUGAGAGCCCUGACCUCAUAGGAUAUCUGAGCUUGUCAUAAUUCAGGUGGGUUCUGUAGGGAAGCAGGGGCUCGUGGGGAGUGGGAGGAAGCUGGGGAGAAGAUGAGUUGAGAGCAGUCCAGUGUGAGGGAAAGUGGGGAUCCUGGGCCAACUUACCAUUAAGAGGGUCCAGUCCUGUGACUGCUGUGAAGUAACCAGGAUUCCACAUAGAGAUGGGGCUCAAAGUCAGCCCAGGAGCAGCACUGUGGUCCCAGGUGAUCCUGAUGCUCAUGGCCAUGCAUUGAGAACAACUGUGUAAG